CGGCAAAAGAGUGGCGUCCAUUUUGUCUCCAUGGAACUCUUAUUGGCUAGGCACCCUGAUAAAGGUUAUUCCGCUGCCCGUUCUACUUCCCGACCAACUAUGCGAACAAUGUUUGGGAGAUGGGAACUACCGACUGGGGAGAGCAUUCACUCCCUGAAAUCAAGAAAAUCCCUUGCAUGGUUUUCGCACAGGAACCCCGGAACAGAGACGGUCGGGGCACCCAUUUCCGGUGAACUGUUUUGGGCCAUCACCUAGUGUCCGGCCGGUCGAAACUUUACCCCAGUGGCAAUCCAGUUCUGCUGAACGGAUCCGAGUGAUACUUGGCCAAGUUGUACACUCAGAUCAGAGCUAUCCGGGGAUGUAACUGUGGGGUAACUGGUUAUAAUGGGGGUACUUUUGGGGUAUUAUAUAUUUUUGUGUAGGUUUUCCUGUACCUGUGAGAUAAUUGAGUUAUGGUUUUCUCACGCAAUUAUCUCUCAGGCACAGAGGACCCUGGGAAAGUUAACCCUGUAAUGUUGUGUUG